GCGGCCUCGGCCUCCGCUCGGAUUCAGACGCCGAUUCGCCCAGCCCGAAGGAGAUCUCUAGGGGAAUGAGGGUAGGAAAAUGCAAAGGAGAGCAGAGUAGGAAUCCAAGAGGAGCAUACACAGUCCGCACUGUUGUUCUGGGAGAUAUGGGAAGAAUUACUCGGAGAAGAGAGGGGUCAGAGUUUGGGAAAUGGAAAGUGAUGACAGCUGGCACCUGAACUAAAUACUUCACAGGCAACACCAUUCCAGAACUUCAGGAUGAAUGGGGAUAUGCCCCAUGUCCCCAUAACUACUCUUGCGGGGAUCGCUAGUCUUACGGACCUCCUGAACCAGCUGCCUCUCCCAUCUCCUUUACCUGCUACAACUACAAAGAGCCUCCUCUUCAACUCCCGGAUAGCAGAAGAGGUGAACUGCCUUUUGGCCUGUAGGGAUGACAAUUUGGUUUCACAGCUUGUCCAUAGUCUCAACCAGGUAUCAACAGAUCACAUAGAACUGAAAGAUAACCUUGGCAGUGAUGAUCCCGAAGGCGAUAUACCAGUCCUGUUGCAGGCCGUCCUGGCAAGGAGUCCUAACGUUUUCAGGGAGAAAAGCAUGCAGAACAGAUAUGUACAGAGUGGAAUGAUGAUGUCUCAGUAUAAACUUUCUCAGAAUUCCAUGCACAGUAGUCCUGCAUCUUCCAACUACCAACAAACCACUAUCUCACACAGCCC
rnacentral:lncRNA from 1 species